UACGUAGGGGGCUAGCGUUGUCCGGAUUUACUGGGCGUAAAGAGCGUGUAGGCGGCCACGCAGGUCCGUUGUGAAAACUGGAGGCUCAACCUCCAGCUGUCGACGGAAACCGUAUGGCUAGAGUCCGGAAGAGGAGAGUGGAAUUCCUGGUGUAGCGGUGAAAUGCGCAGAUAUCAGGAAGAACACCAAUGGCGAAGGCAGCUCUCUGGGACGGUACUGACGCUGAGACGCGAAAGCGUGGGGAGCGAACAGG
rnacentral:rRNA from 1 species